AGAGUCUAUAUAAAAGCAUACACUGAUACAUUCAACGAUUUAUAUUGUUUCAGGUUCAGAAGGUUAUUCAUCUGGAUAAAAGCACAUCUGAUUUGCAGAAAUGUGACAAAGUUUGAAGUGUGCUGCAGGAACUGCUUUUGGCCACCCAGCAGAUGUGAUUGAACCAUGACGAGUAAUUCGUCCAGGUAAGUGGA
rnacentral:lncRNA from 1 species